rnacentral:rRNA from 1 species
UACGGAGGUCGCAAGCGUUGUUCGGAAUCACUGGGCGUAAAGCGCGUGUAGGCGGCUCUGCAAGUCGGGUGUGAAAUCCCGAGGCUCAACCUCGGAACUGCACUCGAUACUGCUUGGCUCGAGUCCCGGAGAGGGUGGCGGAAUUCCCGGUGUAGGGGUGAAAUCCGUAGAUAUCGGGAGGAACACCAGUGGCGAAGGCGGCCACCUGGCCGGUGACUGACGCUGAGACGCGAAAGCGUGGGGAGCAAACAGG